rnacentral:rRNA from 1 species
UGGGGAAUUUUGGACAAUGGGCGAAAGCCUGAUCCAGCAAUGCCGCGCGUGUGAAGAAGGCCUUCGGGUUGUAAAGCACUUUUGUCCGGAAAGAAAUGGCUCUGGUUAAUACCUGGGGUCGAUGACGGUACCGGAAGAAUAAGGACCGGCUAACUACGUGCCAGCAGCCGCGGUAAUACGUAGGGUCCAAGCGUUAAUCGGAAUUACUGGGCGUAAAGCGUGCGCAGGCGGUUGUGCAAGACCGAUGUGAGAUCCCCGAGCUUAACUUGGGAAUUGCAUUGGUGACUGCACGGCUAGAGUGUGUCAGAGGGGGGUAGAAUUCCACGUGUAGCAGUGAAGUGCGUAGAGAUGUGGAGGAAUACCGAUGGCGAAGGCAGCCCCCUGGGAUAACACUGACGCUCAUGCACGAAAGCGUGGGGAGCAAACAGG